AAGUCGUAACAAGGUUUCCGUAGGUGAACCUGCGGAAGGAUCAUUACAGUGUCUUCCACGCCCCGCGAGGGGUAAGGAAUUCCCACCCUUGAAUACCAUGAUUUGUUGCUUUGGCGGGCCCGGAGCCCUGCACCGCCCCGGCCUCGGCGGGGGAGCGCCCGCCAGUGGAGCCCAAACCCUGAAUUGAGUGUCGUCUGAGUCUCAUAUAAUCAUUAAAACUUUCAACAACGGAUCUCUUGGCUCUG
rnacentral:misc_RNA from 1 species